GGGUUGUGAGGUUAAGCGACUAAGCGUACACGGUGGAUGCCCUGGCAGUCAGAGGCGAUGAAGGACGUGCUAAUCUGCGAUAAGCGUCGGUAAGGUGAUAUGAACCGUUAUAACCGGCGAUUUCCGAAUGGGGAAACCCAGUGUGUUUCGACACACUAUCAUUAACUGAAUCCAUAGGUUAAUGAGGCGAACCGGGGGAACUGAAACAUCUAAGUACCCCGAGGAAAAGAAAUCAACCGAGAUUCCCCCAGUAGCGGCGAGCGAACGGGGAGCAGCCCAGAGCCUGAAUCAGUGUGUGUGUUAGUGGAAGCGUCUGGAAAGGCGCGCGAUACAGGGUGACAGCCCCGUACACAAAAAUGCACAUGCUGUGAGCUCGAUGAGUAGGGCGGGACACGUGGUAUCCUGUCUGAAUAUGGGGGGACCAUCCUCCAAGGCUAAAUACUCCUGACUGACCGAUAGUGAACCAGUACCGUGAGGGAAAGGCGAAAAGAACCCCGGCGAGGGGAGUGAAAAAGAACCUGAAACCGUGUACGUACAAGCAGUGGGAGCACGCUUAGGCGUGUGACUGCGUACCUUUUGUAUAAUGGGUCAGCGACUUAUAUUCUGUAGCAAGGUUAACCGAAUAGGGGAGCCGAAGGGAAACCGAGUCUUAACUGGGCGUUAAGUUGCAGGGUAUAGACCCGAAACCCGGUGAUCUAGCCAUGGGCAGGUUGAAGGUUGGGUAACACUAACUGGAGGACCGAACCGACUAAUGUUGAAAAAUUAGCGGAUGACUUGUGGCUGGGGGUGAAAGGCCAAUCAAACCGGGAGAUAGCUGGUUCUCCCCGAAAGCUAUUUAGGUAGCGCCUCGUGAAUUCAUCUCCGGGGGUAGAGCACUGUUUCGGCAAGGGGGUCAUCCCGACUUACCAACCCGAUGCAAACUGCGAAUACCGGAGAAUGUUAUCACGGGAGACACACGGCGGGUGCUAACGUCCGUCGUGAAGAGGGAAACAACCCAGACCGCCAGCUAAGGUCCCAAAGUCAUGGUUAAGUGGGAAACGAUGUGGGAAGGCCCAGACAGCCAGGAUGUUGGCUUAGAAGCAGCCAUCAUUUAAAGAAAGCGUAAUAGCUCACUGGUCGAGUCGGCCUGCGCGGAAGAUGUAACGGGGCUAAACCAUGCACCGAAGCUGCGGCAGCGACGCUUAUGCGUUGUUGGGUAGGGGAGCGUUCUGUAAGCCUGUGAAGGUGUGCUGUGAGGCAUGCUGGAGGUAUCAGAAGUGCGAAUGCUGACAUAAGUAACGAUAAAGCGGGUGAAAAGCCCGCUCGCCGGAAGACCAAGGGUUCCUGUCCAACGUUAAUCGGGGCAGGGUGAGUCGACCCCUAAGGCGAGGCCGAAAGGCGUAGUCGAUGGGAAACAGGUUAAUAUUCCUGUACUUGGUGUUACUGCGAAGGGGGGACGGAGAAGGCUAUGUUGGCCGGGCGACGGUUGUCCCGGUUUAAGCGUGUAGGCUGGUUUUCCAGGCAAAUCCGGAAAAUCAAGGCUGAGGCGUGAUGACGAGGCACUACGGUGCUGAAGCAACAAAUGCCCUGCUUCCAGGAAAAGCCUCUAAGCAUCAGGUAACAUCAAAUCGUACCCCAAACCGACACAGGUGGUCAGGUAGAGAAUACCAAGGCGCUUGAGAGAACUCGGGUGAAGGAACUAGGCAAAAUGGUGCCGUAACUUCGGGAGAAGGCACGCUGAUAUGUAGGUGAAGUCCCUCGCGGAUGGAGCUGAAAUCAGUCGAAGAUACCAGCUGGCUGCAACUGUUUAUUAAAAACACAGCACUGUGCAAACACGAAAGUGGACGUAUACGGUGUGACGCCUGCCCGGUGCCGGAAGGUUAAUUGAUGGGGUUAGCGCAAGCGAAGCUCCUGAUCGAAGCCCCGGUAAACGGCGGCCGUAACUAUAACGGUCCUAAGGUAGCGAAAUUCCUUGUCGGGUAAGUUCCGACCUGCACGAAUGGCGUAAUGAUGGCCAGGCUGUCUCCACCCGAGACUCAGUGAAAUUGAACUCGCUGUGAAGAUGCAGUGUACCCGCGGCAAGACGGAAAGACCCCGUGAACCUUUACUAUAGCUUGACACUGAACAUUGAGCCUUGAUGUGUAGGAUAGGUGGGAGGCUUUGAAGUGUGGACGCCAGUCUGCAUGGAGCCGACCUUGAAAUACCACCCUUUAAUGUUUGAUGUUCUAACGUUGACCCGUAAUCCGGGUUGCGGACAGUGUCUGGUGGGUAGUUUGACUGGGGCGGUCUCCUCCUAAAGAGUAACGGAGGAGCACGAAGGUUGGCUAAUCCUGGUCGGACAUCAGGAGGUUAGUGCAAUGGCAUAAGCCAGCUUGACUGCGAGCGUGACGGCGCGAGCAGGUGCGAAAGCAGGUCAUAGUGAUCCGGUGGUUCUGAAUGGAAGGGCCAUCGCUCAACGGAUAAAAGGUACUCCGGGGAUAACAGGCUGAUACCGCCCAAGAGUUCAUAUCGACGGCGGUGUUUGGCACCUCGAUGUCGGCUCAUCACAUCCUGGGGCUGAAGUAGGUCCCAAGGGUAUGGCUGUUCGCCAUUUAAAGUGGUACGCGAGCUGGGUUUAGAACGUCGUGAGACAGUUCGGUCCCUAUCUGCCGUGGGCGCUGGAGAACUGAGGGGGGCUGCUCCUAGUACGAGAGGACCGGAGUGGACGCAUCACUGGUGUUCGGGUUGUCAUGCCAAUGGCACUGCCCGGUAGCUAAAUGCGGAAGAGAUAAGUGCUGAAAGCAUCUAAGCACGAAACUUGCCCCGAGAUGAGUUCUCCCUGACUCCUUGAGAGUCCUGAAGGAACGUUGAAGACGACGACGUUGAUAGGCCGGGUGUGUAAGCGCAGCGAUGCGUUGAGCUAACCGGUACUAAUGAACCGUGAGGCUUAACCUUACAACGCCGAAGGUGUUU
rnacentral:rRNA from 1 species